UACGUAGGGGGCAAGCGUUGUUCGGAAUUACUGGGCGUAAAGGGCGCGUAGGCGGCACGGCAAGUCAGGAGUGAAAGCCCUGGGCUCAACCCGGGAACUGCUUUUGAAACUGCCGAGCUAGAGUGCGGAAGGGGCAACUGGAAUUCCGAGUGUAGCGGUGAAAUGCGUAGAUAUUGGGAAGAACACCUGAGGCGAAGGCGGGUUGCUGGGCCGACACUGACGCUGAGGCGCGAAAGCCAGGGGAGCGAACGGG
rnacentral:rRNA from 1 species